rnacentral:lncRNA from 1 species
AUGUGUCCCCGGGGAGCAGGAACCAGAGCCCAUCUUAAUCCCGAGAGUCCGGAGGGCUGUGCUACCCCAAGAAGAGGAAGGAUCAGGGGGUGGGCAACUGGUAACUGAAGUCACCAAGAAAGAAGGUAAUGAACACCUGCCUUUUCACCCCCUCUGCCAUACUCCAGAAAGGAAGGGCCCACAGUUGGCUCACCCGGGCUACUCUUAUCAGUGCAGUCUCUUUAUCUGUUAGAGACUCAAGGGCUGGACUGAGAAAAGGCAAAUCAAGUACUCUGCACUCUGCCAGGGGUUGUGGGGGCAGAGAGAGGAGCAUGAGGCAUCGUCCUGGGCUUGAGAACUGUCAACUCCAUGAUGAGAAGCUGGUUCUUGCCCUGUCUGUAUGACUGUGUGGCCUCCUAGCCUUGGUUUCCUCAUCCAUAUUAUGGGAUAAUAGCCUGUGGGGCUAAACAUCAGGGCUCUUGUAGGAGGAAGUCGGGGAGGGACAUGUGAAUGCUUUGUGUAGUUGACAGUGUCCAUGACAUAACAACUUCCUCUCCAACUCGAUCAGCAAACAAACACUGAACCCUGCUCCGCCCCAGGCCCUGUGCUGGGCACUAGGGUCACACAGA